ACUCUAAUCCAAACCCAUUCAGCCUCCAGUUGGAGUGACCAAUGUUCGUAAAAUAAAAGUUGGAACAAAGGAUUUGCCAACGUCCAGAUCAGAUCGCACAGCAGAGGGACCUCCAAGGCAGACAUCAGGAGAAACGGAGUCAAAGCAAGAUGUGCCUCAGAGACCUCCUUGGGCGAGUGGAUUAGGCAACUCUAAGAUGGCUAAACAAGAGGAUCCAAGAAAUAGAGGU